CCGGACUUGCUGGGGGGCGGGGGCGGGGGCGGGGCUGGCGGGAAGACCCGGGCCGCGAGGUGCUGUAGGCCUCAGCCCGGAGCUGCGGAGACCGCCGGCCUAGCCUCUGAGGGCUGAGGCACUUGUCAGGGCGGGACUGCUGGCCCGGCCCGGUUUGCCUGACUUCAGAGGAAAUGGAGCCUGGCUUCGUUUCUCCAGAAACCUCGAAAGAGGCCAGAGCAUCUGGCAGGAAGUCCCUUUUCCCCCCGAGGGAGAGUCUGGACCUUCUGCAGCCGGGUCCGCCCCCCGCCCCCACCAGGCUGGGCCAGAUGUGAUGUCCCCCCUAAAGUCCAGCUUUUCAUCCCGCCGUCCAUCACCCCGCCGGGGCCUCCCCUCGGUGAACUUCCCGGUCCCUUGCCCUCGCGCCUCAUUGCUGGCCCUCCUGAGCCGGUCCCCACACGCUGUCGGCGACGAGAUCCGUGGAGAUCCGCCUGCUGCCGAAGCGCUCUGCCGUCGGAUGUGGUCCAUACACGUAAACCUCUGCGCGGCCGAUGUCGGAUGUCUAGGGAAAAAGAAGGAGCAGGAAGAGGAGGAGAGUUGAAGAGAAGGAAGGAGAUAUUUUGUGGUUCUUGUGAUGAGGGAGAGGUUUGGAAGGACUCAAAAGUUCAGUUUUGGAGAUAUUAAAUUUAAGUUUGGAAACGUCUUUGAGAUGGGCAAGAGGGAUGUCUGGGAAGAAUAUGACUAAAAGAGGAGAGAUCUUGGUUAGAGAUAUAACUCUAUGAGACAUGUGUGCUUACGCACAGAAAUCGAAGGCAUAGACGUGGAUUCGUAAGAAAGCACAAGGCUCAGAGCACAGAGAGAUGAGACGUGGCGCAGGGGACUCUUCAGCGGCUCAGAGCUCUGACAACGAUGGGUGCACCUUUUGCAGAAAUAAGGAGAAUGAGUGUUGAGAAACUGCUCCAGCAAAUGUGCCAGCCUGAGUGGUCACCAAGAAGAAAACUCUAGUGAGUGCCGAGCAGGAGCUAAUUUAUGCAAUGAAGACGUGUAGAGGAAGCACAAGGUGUGCUUGUGCUUCUGCUCAAAGCAGAAAUGAGAGUCGGGCAAAAGCUGGAUACCUGCACAGACAUCCCCAGGAACCAGCAGGCAGAAGGUGUUUUGGUGGCCGCUGAGCUAAACCUUACCCAGAAAAGUGGGUUUGAGUAUUUUGUCAGUUUUUUUCUUUGCAUACCGUGAAGUUACUGAGUGCAGCAUGCACUGACUGUAUGGUGGGAAGUAUCAAUAUCUCCUCUUCACUUCGGAGGAGUGCCACAGGCUGACAGCAUAAGUGCCCAGGGAAGAUGAUGUUGACACCACAGGAGCACGCAGAACCAAGGAAGGACGCAAGAACUGAUUGUAUCAUCAGCUGAUAGACCAUUAAAAAGAAUUGCUAAUGAUGGAUCAUGGCAUGAUUUCUUUUUCUUUUUUUUUUUUAAUUAAUUUUUAUUGGAGUAUAGUUGCUUUACAAUGUUAUGUUAGUUUCUUGCUGAUCACUGCAUGAUUUCUGGCUUAUAACUCGAGUCCAAAAACUUUUGUGGCAUUGCUGUAAAAAAACCCUUCCUUUCUCUUGUACUUAACUAUGUGGAAGUUUCUCAGCACCAGCACCUAUAACAAUAAAAAAAGGAGCUGAUCUGAUGUUAAUGUAUCUUAUUCCAGUAGAGAGAGAAAUAAACUGAUUGGGAGAGAAAAACAACCUCAUUCACCUCAUUAAGA